rnacentral:lncRNA from 1 species
CUUUGACAUAACAUUUGCAUAGAAGACAUACUUGGUUAAUGUAAAAUGCAUAGUUAUUUGAAGUGUGAAAAGCGGAUACAAAAGAUGUGGCUGAGUGCACUUCCUUCUCAUCCACCAAGCCAUACUUUGGACUAACUAUGGUUCCAAGCAGAGAGACCAGCAAUAGUGAAAUAGUAAAGGCUCAAAGCAGGACCUUGUGUGGCUCUUCCAGGAGCAGCAGAAGGCCAGCUUGGCUAGAACAUGAAGAAACAGAAAAUGAACAGAAAAUUUCUGGAACCGAAUCACUUCUAGAAAUAUUGGGAGUUUCUUGGAUAUUUAAGGAGACCCUAGGAAGAUCCCUUGCUCCUUCAGCAGUGUGAACACAACAAGAAGAUGGCCAUUCAUCUAGGAGUCAAGAACCAACCUGUGACACCUUGAUGUGGGGUGUACCAGCCUCCUGAACUAUGGUCUUGGAGAAGAUAACUAAGUUUUCAAGGUGCUGAAGAGGAAAGAGGAGCAAGAGGAGGCAAUGGAACAUUAAAGGACUCUUCAUCAAGUGUAGUGGGAUGCAAUAUCUGAAUGUUACUGCUUCCUGAAAUCAAACUGUAUCUUCCUUCAUCCUUUUGUGCCGCUAAAUUAAAAUACCACAGAUAGGGUAAGCCGUAAACAAUAGGAAUGUCUCCCUCACGGUUCUAGAAGCUGGGAAGUCCAAGAUCAAGGCAAUGGUAGGUUUGGUGUCUACUGUAGGCUGCUGUCUGCUUCCAAGAUGGGCCUUGUUUCUGUAUCCUCUGGAGGGGACAAACAUUGUGCCCUCACAUAGCAGAAGGUUAAGUUUAGAGAGGCAAAAAGGAGGUGAGGUUACUCUUUUAAGUCCUUUCAUAAAGUUUCUAAUCCCAUCCUUUAGCACACAGCCUUCAUGGCCUAAUCACCUCCUAAAAGUCCUGCCUCUUAAUAUUGUUGCAUUGGAGAUAAAGUUUCAGUAUGCAUUUUAGAGGGGAUGAAAAUAUUCAAACUACAGCAUGG